UACGGAGGGGUUAGCGUUGUUCGGAAUUACUGGGCGUAAAGCGCGCGUAGGCGGAUUGGAAGUUGGGGUGAAAUCCCGGGGCUCAACCCCGGAACUGCCUCCAAACUUCCAGUCUGGAGUUCGAGAGAGGUGAGUGGAAUUCCGAGUGUAGAGGUGAAAUUCGUAGAUAUUCGGAGGAACACCAGUGGCGAAGGCGGCUCACUGGCUCGAUACUGACGCUGAGGUGCGAAAGUGUGGGGAGCAAACAGG
rnacentral:rRNA from 1 species